UAAGUUAAAAUCCAAAUUACAAAAUACAAACCAUUGCCUUCAAAGGGCUUAACAAAAAAACAACAAAUAACAUUAUCAUAAAACACUCCAAGCCAUAAAAAAUAAAUCUUCAUGUGCACAACUGCACAUCAUCUCAAUAAAAAAGCACUUCAAGAGCAUUGCACUUUGAUUCCUGAAAUUCAUAAUCUAGAAUUAUAACAUGAUAAAUUAAAUCAGAAAAUAUAAAAAUUAAAAAAAUAUAUAUUUAUACCAUACGUUUUCAAUACAUGCAUCACAAAUUCACAAUUUGUGAACUAAUUAUCAUCCGUUGCUAAAUGCAACUUUCCACCAAAUUCUACAAAAUAAAAUAUUAAACAUGUUAGAAUAAAAAUGUGUUAAUUAAUAAAUAAUAAAAUAAAAUGUGUAAGUUUUUAAGAAACGUUACCUGAUUCAAGGUUUUCGUAGGUUUCCAAAUCAUUCAUCAAGGUUGUAUUAUCAGUUGAAAUUGGACCAUGAUGCAACCAAUUUUGACAACAAAUAAGUGCUUGAACUGUUGCUGGAGAUAAAGAACUUCGAAAUUGGUCGAGUAUACGACCACCUGUGCUAAAGGCUGAUUCGGAAGCCACUGUGGAUAUAGGAAUAGCAAGAACAUGUUGUGCAACUUUCGAAAGUAUCUUAUAUUUUAAAGCAUUAAUUUUCCACCAACCCAAAAUAUCUAAUUUAUCAUCAUCAGGAUCCUCACAACCAUCACUCAAAUACCUCUCAACCUCAUUUCUAUUUUCCACACUAUCUUCCUCUUGUAAGUGCCUUUUGAACCGAGCUAAAGUGUUAACAUCUACCUCCAUGUCAUCAAUAGCAUCAUUAUCAUCUUGUUUAUGCCUAUUAUCAUCCACCACUUCAUUGGCUUUCAAAUAAAACUCAUACAAGCUCACCAAAUUAUCUUUCACCUUUUUUGUUAGCAAUUGUGCUUUGUCAUAAGUAUACAACUCACCAAAACAAAAUUUCACAUAUUUCAACUUAAGACGAGGAUCCAAAACAUUAGCCACAUACAAUAAAAAAUUCUGAUUUGCUCCACAACCCCAAUACUUCUCAAACUUACUCAUCAUGUUAAUCGCCAUUCCAUUCAAAAGAUUAUCUCUACUUUUACACAAUUGCAACAAGUUUGUAUGCAUGUAAAUCAAUUCAUUGAAGAAAGAAUUUGAUGUAACAUGCAAUGAGCCAGAAAAUUUCAAUGUAACCAUGUAAAAGAUCUUUAAAAACUUCAGCAAAGUUCUAGCAUUUUCCCAAUCCUCCAAACUAGGUGGCCCUAUGUUUUUUUUAUUCCCCUUUGAAUCAACCUCCAAAAAGUAACUCAUAUACCUAGAUUCACUUUGACUUAACCUCAUAAAGACCUUUUCAAACUUUUCCGCAGCUUCUAACAUAAGAUAAGUUGAAUUCCAUCGAGUUGCAACAUCCAAACACAAUGAUUUCUUACACUCUAUAUGCAACUUUUCUGCACACUUUUUAAAUGCAAGUAGCCUAGAGGGUGAAGAUCUCACAAACCUAAUUGCAUUUCGAAUCUUAACAACCGAAACAUUCAUCUCUUUCAAACCAUCACAUACAAUGAGGUUGACAAUGUGUGCACAACAUCUAACAUGCAAAUGUUCAUUUGACAAUAUAUUAGUUGGCCAAUCUUUCAUCACAUUCUUCAAAUAUGAAAUAGUAACACUAUUAGAGCUUGCAUUGUCUACUGUAACAGUUAAAAGUUUAUCAAUCCCCCAAUCUAACAAACAAUUCUCAAUAACUUGACCAAUUGUCUCACCCAUAUGAUUGGAAACUUGACAAAAAUUCAGAAUUCUUUUAUGCAAAUUCCAUUCAUUAUCAAUCCAAUGAGCCGUUAAGGACAUAUAGUUAAUGUUUUGGAUUGAUGUCCAUGUAUCUGUUGUUAAGCAUAAUCGUUGACCCUUAAGAGCUCUCUUUAAUCUUUCCUUCUCUUCAACAUAAAGUUUCAAACAAUCUCUCAUAACAGUGAAACGAGAAGGAAUGUCAAAUCUAGGCUGCAUGGUCCUAGAAUAUAAUUUAAACCCCUUACCCUCCACAAAAUUAAAAGGCAACUCAUCAAUUAUAACCAAUUUCACUAGUGCCUUUCUGCAUUCAUCAUAAUCAUAACCUAUUGCCUUAAGAGUUCCCACACUUCGAUCUCCUAAUUCACCCCCUACUUUAUUAGGUUCUAAUAGCAAAAUUUUUUGCUUCUUAUCAACCACAAAAGGAAACUUUUUGCAUACUUUCAAAUGACUCCACAUAUUACUUGUCCCAUUAAUAAUAGUAUGACAUGCAUAAUCCUUUCCACAAUAAUUACAUUCAGCUCUAGGGGUUUUAGGAUCACCAUCAAGUUUUGUAAAAUGAUCCCAAAUUUGUGACUUUUUUUUAUCAUCAACAUUUCUUUUCUAGAUGCAAGGACUUGAAGUUGUUUACCUUUAGUAUCCGUGGUGGAUCCUACAGUAGUUGAUGUUGGGUUAGUGUUUGAAGAUGGGCAUUGGUUGAUGUUGGGGUAGUGCCACUGGAUGAAGCAUUUUGAUUUUGAAGGUUUUCCAUCUGUAAUUACCAAAUGCAAACUACUUGGUUAGUUUACAGAAUCAAAUGCAAACAGAAUAAUGAAUACUUCCAUUCAAAGAGCAGUUUACCCAAAUCAAAUUCAAAUCAAAUAAUCUCAUGAUAAACAAGACAGCAAAAUGCCAUAUUGGAAUGAUGUUCCAUGGCUGCAAAAUUCAGUAGACAUGAAACCAAGACAGAACAGAAUUGUCCAAGAACCAAAAUCACAAACACCAAGGCAUUAAAGUAGAGAAUUCAAUAGUCAUAUUAUUGCAAAUCCCACAGUUUUAGUUCUGCUACUAGUAACUAGUUGAUUUAGGUUUAGCUUUACAGUUAAGCAACAAGUAGCCCAAAUUUUCUCCUUCUCUUGCUAUAAUUAGUUCCUAAUCUCAAUCCAUCUUGCAACAGUGCACUUUGUAUAGAUACUAGUAUGCUCAUAGUUUGCUAUUUUCAAGGAUCUACCACCAUGCUUUUUUAUCAGCCUAGAAGAUGCUACCAGAAGAACACCAACCGCCCAUUACAUCCUCGUUGGAGCACUGCAACAAGGAUUGACAUGUAAGAGAGUGAGUCGGCUCGCCCAUCCCAUUUUAAAACAACAUCAAUGGUGAUGUAUUAGCUAACUAGAAAGGCAGCUUAGUUC
rnacentral:lncRNA from 1 species